AGAGUUUGAUCAUGGCUCAGGAUGAACGCUAGCGGCAGGCUUAAUACAUGCAAGUCGAGGGGCAGCAGGUCUGUAGCAAUACAGAUGCUGGCGACCGGCAAACGGGUGCGGAACACGUACACAACCUUCCUUUAAGUGGAGAAUAGCCCGGGGAAACCCGGAUUAAUACUCCGUAACAUUAUGAAAUGGCAUCAUUUUAUAAUUAUAGCUCAGGCGCUUAAUGAUGGGUGUGCGGCUGAUUAGGUAGUUGGCGGGGUAACGGCCCACCAAGCCUGCGAUCAGUAACUGGUGUGAGAGCACGACCAGUCACACGGGCACUGAGACACGGGCCCGACUCCUACGGGAGGCAGCAGUAAGGAAUAUUGGUCAAUGGACGCAAGUCUGAACCAGCCAUGCCGCGUGGAGGAUGAAGGUCCUCUGGAUUGUAAACUUCUUUUAUUUGGGAAGAAACCCAUAUUUUCUAAUGUGGUUGACGGUACCAGAUGAAUAAGCACCGGCUAACUCCGUGCCAGCAGCCGCGGUAAUACGGAGGGUGCAAGCGUUAUCCGGAUUCACUGGGUUUAAAGGGUGCGUAGGUGGGUUGGUAAGUCAGUGGUGAAAUCCCUGAGCUUAACUUGGGAACUGCCAUUGAUACUAUUAAUCUUGAAUACUGUGGAGGUUAGCGGAAUAUGUCAUGUAGCGGUGAAAUGCUUAGAUAUGACAUAGAACACCAAUUGCGAAGGCAGCUAGCUACACAAAUAUUGACACUGAGGCACGAAAGCGUGGGGAUCAAACAGGAUUAGAUACCCUAGUAGUCC
rnacentral:rRNA from 1 species